rnacentral:rRNA from 1 species
CAGUACCGUGAGGGAAAGGUGAAAAGCACCCCGGGAGGGGAGUGAAACAGUACCUGAAACCGUGCGCCCACGAGCAGUCGGAGCACCUUUAUGGUGUGACGGCGUGCCUUUUGUAGAAUGAGCCAGCGAGUCGCUGGCGCGGGGCGAGGUUAACCGAAAGGGAGCCGGAGCGAAAGCGAGCCUUAACAGGGCGACUUGAGUCCCGCGCCGCGGACGCGAAGCCGGGUGAGCUAUCCGUGGGCAGGCUGAAGCGGGGGUAAGACCCCGUGGAGGGCCGAACGCACGUCGGUUGAAAACGGCGGCGAUGACCUGCGGAUAGGGGUGAAAGGCCAAUCAAACCCGGAGAUAUCUCGUUCUCCCCGAAAUAGCUUUAGGGCUAGCGUCGGGGGUUCACCGACGGAGGUAGAGCUACCGGAUGGACGAGGGGGCUUCGCCGCCUACCGAAUCCAACCGAACUCCGAAUGCCGGCGGCCCAGAGCGCGGCAGUCAGAGCAUGUGGGCUAAGCUGUGUGCUCGAGAGGGAAACAGCCCGGACCGCCCGCUAAGGUCCCCAAGUUCCAGCCGAGUGGCAAAGGAUGUGCGUCCGCCCAGACAACCAGGAUGUUGGCUUAGAAGCAGCCAUCCAUUCAAAGAGUGCGUAACAGCUCACUGGUCGAGUGGACAUGCGCCGACAAUACACGGGGCUAAGCUGGACACCGAAGCGGCGGGAUUUUAUUUAUAGAAUCGGUAGGGGAGCUUCCCAUGGGCGGAGAAGCCGGAGGGCGACCGACGGUGGAGCGCAUGGGAGUGAGAAUGCUGGCAUGAGUAGCGAGAGACGAGAGAGUAACUCGUCCGCCGUGAACCCGAGGUUUCCUGGGCAAGGCUAAUCCUCCCAGGGUCAGUCGGGGGCUAAGGCGAGGCCGGUAGGCGUAGCCGACGCGCAGCAGGCAGACAUUCCUGCACCGCGCACGCGGCGCUACGACCGACGGGGCGACGGAUGGGGGUGGCUCGGCGGGGUUCUGGACGUCCCCGUGAUGGAGCGCGGCCCGCGGACCAGGGAAAUCCGGUCCGCACGAAGGGCGAGGCUCCGGACGAAGCACUUAAGCGAAGCGAGUGAGCCCGAGGUCCCUAGAAAAACCCCUAGGCAGGCGCGUGCGCGCCCGUACCGCAAACCGACACAGGUGGGUGGGUAGAACAUACCGAGGCGAUCGGGUCAACCAUGGUCAAGGAACUCGGCACAAUGGCCCCGUAACUUCGGGAGAAGGGGUGCCCGCGCGUACGUGAACGGACUUGCUCCGGGAGCGGAGGCGGGCCGCAGUGGAGAGGCCCAAGCGACUGUUUACCAAAAACACAGGACUCUGCAGAAGCCGCAAGGCGACGUAUAGGGUCUGACGCCUGCCCGGUGCCGGAAGGUCACGCGGAGGAGUUAGCGCAUCGCGCGAAGCCCCGAAGCCAAGCCCCGGUAAACGGCGGCCGUAACUAUAACGGUCCUAAGGUAGCGAAAUUCCUUGUCGGGUAAGUUCCGACCUGCACGAAUGGUGUAAUGAUCCGGACACUGUCUCAACCGUGAGCUCGGUGAAAUUGUAGUAUCGGUGAAGAUGCCGAUUACCCGCGAUGGGACGAAAAGACCCCGUGAACCUUUACUACAGCUUAGCGCUGACCUUGGUCAUCCGAUGUGUAGGAUAGGCCGGAGGCUUCGAAGCGGGGACGCCAGUCUUCGUGGAGCCGCCCUUGAAAUACGGCCCUUUGGCUGUCCGAGGUCUAACGCGCGUUUUGCGCGGACACCGCUUGGCGGGUAGUUUGACUGGGGUGGUCGCCUCCAAAAGUGUAACGGAGGCUUCCAAAGGUGCCCUCAGGCCGAUUGGUAACCGGCCUCUAGAGUGCAAUGGCAUAAGGGCGCUUGACUGGGAGGGAGACAUCCCGAGCAGGCAGGAAACUGGGGCAUAGUGAUCCGGCGGACGCGUAUGGAAGCUCCGUCGCUCAAAGGAUAAAAGGUACUCCGGGGAUAACAGGCUGAUCUUGCCCAAGAGUCCACAUCGACGGCAAGGUUUGGCACCUCGAUGUCGGCUCAUCGCAUCCUGGGGCUGGAGCAGGUCCCAAGGGUACGGCUGUUCGCCGUUUAAAGCGGUACGCGAGCUGGGUUCAGAACGUCGUGAGACAGUUCGGUCCCUAUCCGGCGCGGGCGGAGGAUAUUUGAGAGGAGCUGUCCUUAGUACGAGAGGACCGGGAUGGACGGACCACUGGUGUAUCUGUUGUCGACCAACGGCAUGGCAGAGUAGCCAAGUCUGGAAGGGAUAAACGCUGAAGGCAUCUAAGCGUGAAGCCCCCCUCAAGAUGAGAUAUCCCUCCUUCGGGAGUAAGACCCCUUGA